rnacentral:rRNA from 1 species
UUGGGAAUCGUGCGCAAUGGACGAAAGUCUGACGCCGCGACGCCGCGUGCAGGAAGAAGGCCUUUGGGUUGUAAACUGCUUUUAUUAGGGAUGAUUAUGACAGUACCUAACGAAUAAGUGACUGCUAACUUCGUGCCAGCAGCAGCGGUAAUACGAAGGUCACAAGCGUUAUCCGGAAUUAUUGGGCGUAAAGAGCUCGUAGGUGGUGAAGCGGGUCUUCGGUAAAAGUCCCAAGCUUAACUUGGGUUUCGCCGAAGAAACUACUUUGCUAAGAGGAUGGCAGGGGCAAAUGGAAUUCCUGGUGUAGCAGUGAAAUGCGUUGAUAUCAGGAAGAACACCAAUGGCGAAGGCAAUUUGCUAGGCUAUACCUGACACUAAGGAGCGAAAGCGUGGGGAGCGA